ACGGCCCUUUUUUUCCUGCUGCUUACAUUAACUUUCAUAAAAAGAAAAAGAAACUAAAAACAUGAAAACAAAACAAAAAAAAACCCCUCAACAUCAACAUUGUUCCCACCACAGAUCACUGAUUAUUUAAAGAGAGAGAGAAAGAACGGUAUUUGCAGUUAGUAUGAGGUAUAAGAGGAAUAAAACAUUGUAGGACAUGCUGUUAUUAGAAAAUAAUCAUCUUCGGCAUGGAAACAGAACCUCCGCUUCAUCAAUGCAUUAGUUGAUUAGUUUCCUAUAACAUGCCGAUGCUACAUGUUUAAUUCCCUACUCAUUUUCUAUUCUGACAAAAAACUCUGCUAUGAGAUUCUUCAGAACAAUCUUCCUUCUUCCUGUGAUGCCUCAAUAUGUGAACGAGCCGUACCUCAUGGUGGGACCGAGGCAGGACCUGAGUGAGGGGACAGAUACGGGUUUUCCUGCUGUCGUUCCUGUCCACUCAUGCACUGGCUUUACCCGAGGAGCUGCUCGGUUUCCGAUCCCAGGCCCAAGAUGCAGACUCGAUUCCCCCCACAAUAAAACCAAGAAGGCCAGAUGGCAAGAUGGCAGACCAGAAACGAUGCAACUGAUGCCGUGAUUAUGCUACAACGAUUCCACUGAGAAAUCUACAAGGAAGAACACACCUUCGGAAAAAGAAAGGAUAUGGGGACAGAAGAAUAAGAAGGUAUGAAUGUGGUCUUGGAAGCAACAAAGCAGCUAACUGAUAAGGUGGAUACAUCCAACUACAGGUGGAGUGACCAAACUACAGCGGAACUCUGUUGUGUCCUCUAGUAAUCAGAAACUGGACGAGUAGAUCCUUUCGACUCUUUAUUCAGCACAUGCUACAUUCUCUUCCACAGAAACAUUGCAGUUUUUGAGAAGAAGAAGCACCACUUCGAUACUAAAGCAUUAUAUGCUGCCACCUGGUGGUUAAACUGCAAAACACCACAUUUUCCCCUUUCACUUGAAAGGUUCCUUUGUAUCACAGCGUACUAUUUUGAACAUUCCUUUUUCUUGAUUUUCUUUUCUUAGGUUUACAACAAAUUACAACCUCAGUAAGAACUUAUGUAACCAAAAUAACAGUUAAAGAUUACUGUACACUGUUACUAACAUUUACCCUACAACAGACAUUUAACACUGUAAUGAAAUAAUCUUACUUCUGAUGCACAUUUUCAAGCACUUCAGGCAGUUAUAACAGUUUACACAACUUACAGUGUAACAUCAAAACAAGAUGCAUUUUUCCCCCAACAUGUAUAAUGUCUCAACGGGUAACUUUGCUGUAUUCCACACAGGUAACCUACACACUCUAUUCCUCCUCCUAGGAUUAAAUGUCACUUCUGACUGCAAGUCCAUAUGCUGAGUAACAAAUGCCAAUGCAAAUGCCACUUCAGGCAACAUACUGUGAUAAUCCAGUAGGGAGAUGGCAAAACGGCAGUUAGAAGGUCCACUCUCAAAUGGUCCAACUAUGUCGAUCCCUAGUUUCUGCCAUGGGUCAGACAGGCUGAAGUGGGGCAGGUGCUGUUUUUGCUGAUUUAUCAUUCAUUUGGCAGGUCAAGCAGGAAGAAACCGUGGACUGCACUUGAGCAUCCAUCUGAGGGCACCAAAAUAAUUGACGCGUUUGAUUUGAUCACUUCCUUGAUGUGACUCGUAAAUUCGUAAAUAAAACAUGGUUAACUCUGGACAGGAUUCCGAAGCAGAAAUGAAAUCCUCAGUAGUAGGCAAUCCAGUAACAAAAACAACCAUGUCUGGUUCCACAGCACCAUCUGAUUCUGUUGGCAAUGGCAGCCUGGAUAAACAAUCUGCACCACAGUUACAUCAUACGGGUAGCAAAGCAAGCACUCUGACCACUGGGCAACAUGCAUACCAGCCCGGCCAAUGCCUUUGGUUACCAGUAGUGUGGUGAGUGCACAAUGAUCAGUCCUGAGUGUAAAGUGUUGACCCCACAAAUACGGCCACCACUUUUCUACAGCCCAGAUAUAAGCCAACACUUCUUUCUCAAGCUUAGAGUAUUUCUUUUUGGCUGCUGUAAGGGUCCUAGAAGCAAAUGCUACAGUUCUCUAAACAUUAUCUGGGUGUAGUUGUGUCAAGACACCUCCCGGUCCAUAGUCGGAUGCAUCCGUUGAUACUGUUAUGGGAAGAGAAGGGUCAAACAAUGCCAGCAAUGGGCUUCUAGAAAGAAGCUCUUUCAGUGCUUUAAAGCUGCAAUCAGGAGAGGCAUCUGAUGCAUCUCUCAGCAGCACACGCAAUGGCUCAGCAACAGAAGUGGCAGAAGUUAGGCAGAAAUUUGCUGUACCAAGAAAUCAGUCACAAAAAGGAGUGCAGAGAAAAAAGGUCAUGCGGUUCAAGGACAUCGAUGAUUGCAGACAUGCGUUCAUCAUCUGGGAAAAUUCCGUGUUUGGAAAUGACAUAUCCAAAGAAUUUUAGGGAUGACUGGCUGAAUGUACAUUUCUCCCAGUUCAGCUGUAGUCCUUCAUCAGACAAGAGUUGCAUGGCAGAGAGCAGUGUCGCAUCAUGAUGAUCCUGAGUAUUACUAUACAUGAUAAUGCAUGUAUAGUAUAACAUCCAAGUAGUUCCUGACUCCAUGUAUGCCUUAAAGAAGUUUCCAUCAUUUUUUGAAACGCUGAAAAAGUGCAGAUGGAAAGCUGUGAUGUCCCGGCACUCCUCGUGUAAAGUAAGCUGAUGGUAAGCAGCUGCCAAAUCAAUUGCAGUGAACACAGAAGCAUCUCUAAGGCCACUCAAAAGUUCAUCCAUGUUAGGAAGAGGAUGACUGUCAACAAUUAGGGCUUUAUUUGGCAACACGGAGAUGAAUUUCACCUCCUUUCCAUUCAGUAACAACAAUAGGCGAUAUCCAAGGAGAGGAAUCAAUUUUCUCGAUUAUGCCUUUUUGCAAUAAUGAGUCCAGUUCUGCAGCUUGUCAGACAGCGAACAGCAGUUGGCAUAGCUUUUGGUGUACUGGGGUAGAAUCCGGCUUGACUGUAGGCUUAUGGACAAAGCCUUUCACCCAUCCCAAGAAGCAUAUGGAGCACGAAUGGUUUCACUUUCAACUGCAUGCAAUUUGUCAUGUGCAGACACAGUAUCAAAGUGAAAAAAAUAGUUCAAAGCUCCAAUUAAGUUCAUACCCAUUAAAGCAGAGCCACCUCUGAGAAUGUAAAAAUGCACAAGGACUGGAAUAUCCUCUUUCAAGUAGGUGACUAGUCACUUUAGGAGCUGUGAGCGAAAAAUGUCAGAAUUGACCCUGAAGAGCCACUGUCCAUGACUAAUUCAGUCUCAACUAAAAGUCCAUGUGAUGUAGUAACAUGAACACUGCAUAAAAGUUUGUUUGCAGAAGUAUUCACAGCAUCAGUCAAGAGAACAACAAUGUUAAGGCCCACUUCCCUAACAUCAUUGAAGAAUGGCAUGCUUUAGAAAAAUGUCCGAUCUUACCACAGGCAGGGCAUUUGGCCCGGGCAGCAGGGCAAUCGGCAGCAUUAACAAGGUGAUUUUUAGCUCCACAUCUGUAACACGUGGUUUUUGCUCUGUUGGAACGUGACGUUCUCUUCUUCAGAAAUUAAAGACACAGUUUACGGUAUAGGUAGACAUGAAGAAAAUAAAACAACCGGUCAUUGUACAGUUCACUCAAAAAUUACACCGAGAUGCAUUGUGGAGAAUGACCUAGGAUCAUGAGAUCUGGAAAGAGCUUCAUAUCAGCUUCAUCAAAGACCUCUGCCAAGCUGAGAGGGAGACCUAAUCUGCACUGUGUCCAAAGAUAAAACAAGCAAGAGAUCCUGGAAAGUGUGUGUACUACAGCGGUGGUGCUGGUGAACUGUUUGGGCUUCCUUUUCUCAGUUCUCUUUAAAGAAAAGUAUGUUGGACUGAUUAAUAUUUGUUGGCGGUUGCUAAUUCAUUUGUUAUGAAUUGUUUUUUUCUUGUAUUUCACUUAAUGCUAGUGGCUUAAGGGAGAAAAUCUUUAUUUUUGUUUUGCAAGGGCAAAAAAGCACGCUUUAUUUUAUUGCAAGAAACACACUCCAAAGCAGAGGGUGAGAAAUUUUUAGGUAAACCAGUGGGGUGACAAAAUCAUCUUUAACCAUGGGCCUACUAGAUUAUCAGGUGAUUACCUUAUUUUGUUACUCACCUGGUAAAUUAAAUUAGUGACAUCUAGAUUUAGCAAUAAUGGUGUAAUGAGAAGUAAGCAGGAUCCAAAGGCAGUAGGCAAAGUGCAUGCUUGUUGUUUGUAUGCUCGCAUGAACACCAUCACAACUCCAGCAGUUCUUCCUGUUGUUGUUGUUGUUGUUGUUGCUCACUGCCCUAUUUAUUGUGAUUUGCUCUGCAGUAUUGCACACUGACUUGGUUGUAGCAUUAUCCUCAAUUUGCCCCUCGAAGUCCACCUGCCACCUUGUUUAUCUUUGUCAUACUUAUCAGUCUUGAUACCGGGAAAAAAAAAGUGGACUGUAAAUAAUUUGGAGCCAUUCGGGAUGACAGAAAAGGCACAAAUACAGAGAUCUUUGAUCAAAAAAGCUACUUGACCGUAACAUAUUGGAAAGGUUUCAACACAAACAGCUGGGAAAAGACACACAUGUUGCAAAUGCAAAAGUUCCCAUUUGUAUGAAUGUCCUUAAAAUUCCAAAGAACCUGCAGCUUUACAGAUGAUGAAUGAUCGUGAAACACACCGACCGAUCUGAUUCUUCAACCUGCUGUGAGAAUGCCAUUCUAAAUAGGAUUCAAAUUGGAAAAGCAAUCAAUUUGGGAGAAAGCGAUGGGUAAUUGCAUGAAUAUCGGGGGUCGAAAAUAUUCGAGUCAUACAACAAAUACACUACAGUUCUUGAAAAAAUACAGUAUAUCAUUUAAAUAUAUGCAUUUCUAUUCAUAUUACUUGCCCUAGGGUGUCCUGGCAAGUGGUUUAUUUCCCACUUUCUCACCUGUCCCUUGAUAGGACCUUUCCCUUGAUGUGCUGCUCUAUAUGUUUCUUCUGCUGUCUUGGUCGGUGUGGGUCAUUAUGCUUAUAUAUGUGUCGGCAUAACUGUGUGUCUGUACCAUAAGACCGGACGCUGUGUUAUCUAGGUUUUUAUGCUUAUAUGUUUUGUUGAGGUUAUUUAAGUUUCCAUGUCAUAGUUAUGGUUCAUUUCUGUUACGUUUAAUGUAGUUGUGUUAGUUUUGUUUUGUUUAAUAAAAGCAGUGCACAUGCUAGAUUCUUACGUUUGGGUCUGUUCUGUUACUGCGGGCGAUCAAGCUUACGGCGGAGAUCCGGGUUUGAUCGGCGGUGUCCACUCCAUUCAUUACAUCAGGUGAAAUCUAUUACUUUUAUUCGUUAUCAAAACAAUUGAAUUCUUUUUUACAGAUUUCUUUUGUUUGCUCUUUUCAUUCUUUAUACUGAAUGCUGGCUUCUGAUUGGUCAAAAUGUGUCCAUUAAUUUUUUAGAACAGUGGCUCGGUCAGUAGCACCAGCUGCAAAUCACAAAUCACAGCUCCUCAUAUCUUUUUGUGUAGCUCAUGAUUUUGGUAAAAUUUGGCAUGCAUGUGGUUUUAAAGCUGCAUAUGGAGAGCCCAUUUCACAGACCUCAAUGUUACCUAAACGUCUAGCUGUCAUUAAGGUCAAGGAUCACAAUCCAGGAGAUUCUGAAAUGACGUAACUCUCUAGCUCUUGAAGGAGCAAAAUGAGCUGCCAAAGAGGGCACGUCCUUGCCUUCUGUGCACAAAACAGCUAUUUUCUCUGUUUACACACAUUUCAACUCCACUAGAUCAAAUUCACAUGGUAUUUGUCAUAUACACAAUCAAACACAUGCAGUGAAAUGCUUUUUAUCACUGUCUGGGUUAUCAAAAAUAAAAUAAGUCAAAAAUGGAAUUAGUUGUACAAGGAAAAACAAAUGGACAAAACAUAGAACAAAUCUAGCAAAUGAGAAAACAAUAGAAUGUCUGAUAUGAAUGAUAUGAAUAUGGUAUUGAUCGGUGACAUCAAUAAAAUAAAAAUGAAUAAUCAAAAUCAAUAAUAAAAGUGAAAACUUGAAUAGAGAGGAAAGAAAACGACUGUUUACAGCUGCUAUAUCAGGAACUAACCUGAUUUCACAGCCAUCAUUACAGGUAACUAUAAAGACAUUGUAUAACUGUAACCACAUGUACAUCGUACAAUGAAAACUUGAUGACUGGUUGUUUGUUCGGGUUCCACUGCUGUCACCCAAGAACACGAAUAUGAAGCUCAACCAAAUUAGACCAAUGAAGAUAAUCAAUGCAUUUUCAGAACUUUUUUUUUUUUUUUUUUUACAUUAUUCAGCUGUGUAUAGUCUCAGGUUCCUGGUACUCGGCUGACAGGAGUGGAACCCGAUGUGGCCCCCUGUUGUUGCAGCCCAACUUCCACAAGGUUGUGUGUUCUGUUCUGUGAUGCUUUUCUGCUCAGCACAGCUCUAAAGGAUAGUUCUUUGAGUUUCCACCAGCAUAUGGUCAUAGUGAUGCCUCCAGGUGCGUGGAUCAAAUGGUACAGAGUCCAGACCCAAAUGCAGGAUAAAAUCAGAUUGGGGGAUUUUAUUAAUAAAAUAACAAAAAAGUAACAAAUACAGGAGGACACUAGGGAAAAACUAAACAACAGAAAAUUAAGAAAUUAGAAGGCAUCACCAAUCACGGAACAGCAAAACCGAUCAUGCAAACCACGAGACUGAAUCAAACAUGGAGCGGUUACCAACUAACAAUUUGACUCAUACAAAACAACAGGUAUAUAUAUAGGGGAACAUGAGGAACAGGUGUAUAGAGGCAGGAAACAGGAUGAAACACCAGGUAGGGAAAAAAAACCCAAAAGAACAACCCUACCCGAUUGCCCUCUGGUGCCUAGCAGAGACCUGUCUAAGCAGUCGCAAUCCAUGUGUCAGCUCAAACCCGUUUGGUCAUUCUCCUCUGACCUCACUGACCAACAGCAGUGGACUUUGACUUGUUUUGUUUUUUUUGUGGUUUGACCAUAAUUUCAAAAUCCACCUGUGUCUCAGACAGAAUCUGAUGAAAAAAAAACAUGAACUUUGCCAAACUGGGCUGUCAAAACUAUAUAAAUCUGAUCCAGUUUGGAGGAAAGAAGUGAAGGAAAAUACUGAGAAUUCAGACACUCGGCUCAUUUUUAGGAAGAAAUCAUCUUUGUGAACAAACAGAUUCCUGCUCUUUAAG